rnacentral:other from 1 species
UCAACCCUGGGAUGUUCGACAGAUGUUCAAGUCCCUCGAGCCGAUAAUCAUUUUACCGGAAGCAGGGGAUUGGUAUUGUGCGCAUGUCCGCAUGCGGAAAGCCUAAUAUGCCGAUACUUGUUUCCACCCUGAACCGUCGGGUUCAGGGCCAAGAACACCAACGGCAUUCUGGGGGGUUU